rnacentral:rRNA from 1 species
GGCAAGGCCUUGCGUCGAUGGAGCGGCCGAUGCCGGAUUAGCUAGUUGGUGAGGUAAAGGCUCACCAAGGCGACGAUCCCGUAGCUGGUCUGAGAGGACGACCAGCCACACUGGGACUGAGACACGGCCCAGACUCCUACGGGAGGCAGCAGUGGGGAAUCUUGGACAAUGGGCGAAAGCCUGAUCCAGCAAUGCCGCGUGUGGGAAGAAGGCCCUCGGGUUGUAAACCACUUUUGGCGGGAAAGAAAUGGUCUGUGCUAAUACCACGGAUUGAUGACGGUACCCGCAGAAUAAGCACCGGCUAACUACGUG